AUAGUAUUUAUUGAGGUUUUGUUUCUUGAUUUCAACUGUUUUUCAUCAACAAGAAUAGACAGCCAUGGUAUCUGUACACAAAUUAUAUGCUUUUGUUAUACAUCUUUUCCUCCAACUGUCUUCUACAACUAAUCUUUUUUUUUUUUUUUCCAUGUUUUUUCAAAGUUAUUUGCAUAGGGAUCAAAUCAAAUAAAGAUAAGUAUCAAACAUCACCGUAAUGUGUGAAGCUCCAACUUCACUGGUUUGGAACCUUGUGUUGAACCUAUAUAGGUUGGAAUGAAAAGUGUCAAAUUUAGUACCUGAGCCUUUAUUCUCACUUGUGUCCAGCAGUAGUGUUCCUUUUGGCUUCAAGCAUAAUUCCUUCAGUGCUGAUUGUGCUUUAUUCUCAAAUCCGAGUGCAGAAAGGGCAGCAGCCUAAAGAUAAGAUGCAAUGUGCCAUAUUAGGGAAGUUACUUGAGCUUGCAUUACAUUGUUUAGAGCUUCCUGAAUAGCAAAAUUUAUGGGAGAGACCAUGUUUCCAACGUAAAUGAACUGCAAGUGAAAGCAACUGUUGGCAUGAUAACUGUUGAAAAGUAAUUGACACUGGGAAGUUCUAAAUUAAUCUACUGUUGAAGAAUAGACAGCCAUAUAAAUACUUGUACGGCAUGAGCUUCUUCUUCCGUCAUCUGAAAUAAAGCUUGUUUUUAUUUAAAUGUUAUGAUGGAGACCAGAAAGCGCUUGAAACAUCUAUCCAAUAUCAACGCUUCCUUAUCCGUCUGCCACCACCAUGUUAAUGUGACGACGAGGUGCAUACAAGCGACUCUCUUCAUGGGAAAGCGAAGCCAAAAAUCAAGACUGUUGCAGAUGGGAAGGAGUGUACUGUGGCCCACUGACAGACCAUGUGAUUCAACUUCAUCUUGAAGGAGUCUCUUCACAAGGACCUUCAUCUUUGGAAGAACUAGAUGCAUGCUUCCCUUCAGUUGAGGAGUUCACAGUUGCCAUGGACAACAAUAAAGCAGUACAAGUUUUUGAGGUCGGAGUGCAAGUUAAAUUCACAAUUAUUAUAACUAUACUAAAGGAAGGUUUUUGGUUUUGUAGAUUAGGAGUAACAGACGAUUUUGCCACUGCCUCUUCUCUGUUCUUACGGAAUUGCCCCAACACCUGUCUACUUCCUGUCCUGCUGCUCAGUACUACCGUGGCACCGUUUAGUGGCGUGGCUCUGCUUCUUUGGAGGCUAAUCGGUGCAGGCAGAGAGAGGCAUAGAAGAAAGAGUUCUGGUAUAAGGAGAACGACUGAGAAACUUUUCUGAUAUUAGAUUUUGAUCAAACAGCAAAGCUACUUGGUCUUGAGGGUGAAUUCAGGUCACAGGGUUGAAAUCAUUUUUAGGUUUUGUUUAUUGGUUCGGUAAUUUGGAUGGUAUUCUACACUAAAGUUUCAGUCUUGAUUUCUUAUUGGGUAUUUUUGCUUUUGUUCUUUCAUUUCUGCUAAUUUUAUUUAAUUGGGUUAUAGAUAACAGUGAGAUGUACUAUCUGGUUACUCUCCACCCCUACCCAUGAAGAGAAAAGGAGGGUUUCUCUACUAAUGGCGGCUGCAACCUUUCAAGUGGCUACAGUUGUCUGGCCAUUACCCAAGGAAAAUUGUGGAACAAAUGGUUGAUUGUCCAAUGGCUGAUCUAAGCACAAGUUAUUGUUCUGUUGGAAGGUGCAAGCGCUGCUUUUCUACACUGUGAGGGUGUUGCCUUCUAAGAUAGCUAUUGCACCUGCCUCCGACUGAAGAUGAACGUGAGAUGUGUGCAAGAAAAUAUAUACUUUCCAAAUAUUGACAAGAAGGUUUUUCAAGCUGAUGUUAAGCUCUUUUUUGAAUCAGUUUGUGGAGAGGUUUAUCGUCUGAGGCUGCUCAGAGUCUGUCACCUUUUUAAUCGAAAAUGUCCAAGAUAACUAUAUUUGUUUCUUAAUUCAUUGUAUCUGAUAAACUUUGGCUUGGCCUUGACACCUGGUGCCAGAGUUUGGAAUGAGAUCCAGAAGUAUGAGCAACAUUGGCUAUUCUCAGUUGUUCCGAACCCCCCUCAAAUUGGCCUACUAAUUGAUGUUCGGCUGUAUCCUUUAUAUCCAUUAGAUCUUUCAAAGUGCAUAGUUAAGGAACAAUUGGAAGGAACAAUAUUUUGGGGCUGUGGUGUGGUUUGAACAAGUAACCCUAUUAGAGGGAGGAGAUAACUCUUUGUUUUGUGUAUAACUUGGCUCAACUCUUUGAUGCUGGUUUUAGAAUUUAGCUUUUUCAAGUAAAGCAAGCUUAUGUCGUUCGUUAAUUCUCUGAACAAUAGUUAGUUUUCUAAGCACAGUCUCUUAAACAUAAAGCAUACUAAUGCUUACAUUUUGGUGAUGAAAGCUUGACAACAUAACAAAUUAUUGUAGCAAGUGAAAAUGACUCUAACUAGAAGUUGCAAGAAAUUGGUACGCUUUGUAGGUCACUUUUAUAUUAAAAUGUUGCACAGAGAGGGAACAUUGUUAUAAUACUAGAAUUUGUUUUUUGUGUCUGCUCUGUGGGGAUACCCUUAUGUUUAGAACUGAUAAUGUACAUUCAACGAAUGAGCCAAAGAUGGACUUGAUUGUUGAGUUAGGGUGUUCAAAGUUCAUAGAACUGCUACUUUUCAUAUGUAGUUUUAGUCACCCCUUUUUACUACGUUUACUUUCUUCAUCAGGUUAUAUAUUUGUUUUGGAUGGAUCUCUGUUGAGAUUACAUGUCAUUAUAAAAUGCAAGCUUGCUAAGUUAACUGUUUUGGUAGCGGAAUCAUAGCAGUAUUUGGAAUAUGUUUAUUAUGUUUGCUUAUAUGAAGGUGAAUUGCUUGAAUGCCAAGUCUAUCAGCAGAACAAUAGUUCUGUUCAUAUAGAUAUUUAAGCCCUGACUAUUCAUUGGAUUAGGACAAUUAGCUGUCAUGAUUUCCCUCUGCUUUUCCUUUAUCCCAAUUGUACGUAUCAUUUUGUUUUUUGUCUGUCAGUUGAUCUUCUAUGGUUUUUCACUAUUAAUCCUAUGCUGUUAC